rnacentral:rRNA from 1 species
ACAUGCAAGUCGAGGGGCAUCAGGAUCUAGCAAUAGAUUGCUGGCGACCGGCGCACGGGUGAGUAACACGUAUCCAACCUGCCUUAUACUCGGGGAUAGCCUUUCGAAAGAAAGAUUAAUACCCGAUAUCAUACUCUUGCCGCAUGGUAAGAUUAUGAAAGGAUUCCGGUAUAAGAUGGGGAUGCGUUCCAUUAGGCAGUUGGUGGGGUAACGGCCCACCAAACCUUCGAUGGAUAGGGGUUCUGAGAGGAAGGUCCCCCACAUUGGAACUGAGACACGGUCCAAACUCCUACGGGAGGCAGCAGUGAGGAAUAUUGGUCAAUGGGCGAGAGCCUGAACCAGCCAAGUAGCGUGAAAGAUGACUGCCCUAUGGGUUGUAAACUUCUUUUAUAUGGGAAUAAAGUAGGCUAUGCAUAGCCUUUUGUAUGUACCAUAUGAAUAAGGAUCGGCUAACUCCGUGCCAGCAGCCGCGGUAAUACGGAGGAUCCGAGCGUUAUCCGGAUUUAUUGGGUUUAAAGGGAGCGUAGGUGGACAGUUAAGUCAGUUGUGAAAGUUUGCGGCUCAACCGUAGAAUUGCAGUUGAUACUGUCUGUCUUGAGUACAGUAGAGGUGGGCGGAAUUCGUGGUGUAGCGGUGAAAUGCUUAGAUAUCACGAAGAACUCCGAUUGCGAAGGCAGCUCACUGGACUGCAACUGACACUGAUGCUCGAAAGUGUGGGUAUCAAACAGGAUUAGAUACCCUGGUAGUCCACACAGUAAACGAUGAAUACUCGCUGUUUGCGAUAUACAGUAAGCGGCCAAGCGAAAGCAUUAAGUAUUCCACCUGGGGAGUACGCCGGCAACGGUGCAACUCAAAGGAAUUGACGG